AUCUACUUGCAAUGCUAUGCAGAGCCCCAGAAAACAUGAAUUGUAUGUAGUUCUGAGGACUGAGUUUGAGAACUUUUGCUACAGAUGUGAUAAUGACAGAACUACACUUGAAGUGAUGUACAGUAUACGGACACCCCCAGGGGCAAAACUCUGGGAGGCAGUGGAGUCGGCUGCCGCCGGGCUCCUGCCCUCAAGGGGGCACAUCUCCUCCAUUGUCUCCAGCUGACUGACCCUGGCGAUCAUUUGCUGCAAGGAGCUUUCGAGUCAGUGACACAGAAGGUGUGAUGAGGUCAAUAUUUUUCCAAUUAGGCCACACUGACUGUUCAUCAGAAAGCCUCGGUGUUAUAUUGAAGUUUCCAUCAUGCAUGUAUGAACAAGUUUUGUCGCAUUAUACUGUUUGUAUAAACUACUGUACUUCUCAGCUGCUUGAGAGAUACCCCUGAUGAAGUCUUUUGUAUAAGACGAAACGCGUUGGGUUGUCUGUGUUGUGAAGCUAUCUCCGAACCAACUAUAAGGAGAAGGAAGAGAUUGUUGUGAUCCUUCAACAUUUGUAUUCAGCGCUAAGAGUCAUACAUCUUAAAGUGUGGAAUAAUAUAUCUCCUGUGUAUUAAUUUGAAUAUGUUUUUAAUAAAUGUUUUAUGAUGGAA